rnacentral:rRNA from 1 species
GCUUGCUUCUCUUGAGAGCGGCGGACGGGUGAGUAAUGCCUAGGAAUCUGCCUGGUAGUGGGGGAUAACGUUCGGAAACGGACGCUAAUACCGCAUACGUCCUACGGGAGAAAGCAGGGGACCUUCGGGCCUUGCGCUAUCAGAUGAGCCUAGGUCGGAUUAGCUAGUUGGUGGGGUAAUGGCUCACCAAGGCGACGAUCCGUAACUGGUCUGAGAGGAUGAUCAGUCACACUGGAACUGAGACACGGUCCAGACUCCUACGGGAGGCAGCAGUGGGGAAUAUUGGACAAUGGGCGAAAGCCUGAUCCAGCCAUGCCGCGUGUGUGAAGAAGGUCUUCGGAUUGUAAAGCACUUUAAGUUGGGAGGAAGGGCAGUAAAUUAAUACUUUGCUGUUUUGACGUUACCGACAGAAUAAGCACCGGCUAACUCUGUGCCAGCAGCCGCGGUAAUACAGAGGGUGCAAGCGUUAAUCGGAAUUACUGGGCGUAAAGCGCGCGUAGGUGGUUCGUUAAGUUGGAUGUGAAAUCCCCGGGCUCAACCUGGGAACUGCAUUCAAAACUGACGAGCUAGAGUAU